GGAAUUAAUACUGGGGAGGGGAGGGAGAAGGAGUGUCAGGUGUUGAGUGGGCAAGUCAGACCAGCUGUGGGAAUUACAGUUAUUGUCACUGGAGACAACACAGCCCUGACCUCCAGUAUAAGCUGCUGGAAGAUAUUAACACCUAAUUAUCAAGCCAGGGGUGCAUCUUACACCUUAAUCACUGGUGAGGUGAGACUGACAAAAAAGAGGAAGGGAGGUGUUUUCCAUGUUCCUUUCAGCAAGCAUCCAUCCUCUAACAGGGGGUCAUCACUUGCAGCAAAUGACAAUUUCCUUUUAGCCCUUUCAGUCUAUAGAAAAGCACAGUAACUUCAUUUGCUAGCAGGUAGGCAGUGGAGGUGAGAAUCGGAUUGAUCUGAAAUUGACCCUGAGGUCACUGCCUCCUUUAAAUUGGGUGCUACAGACAAAGUUUCUUUUCUUCUUCUCUGGCUCCUGCCAGCAGCCAAGCAGAGUCCUCAGUCAUUGGGGCGGGAGGUGGGGAGAGUGUUAGCAAUUAUUUAAAGGGAUUCUGACACCAGGGUUGAACCCCUACCCCAAACUUAAUCCAAGUGGAGACCUUUUUUUUUUUUUUUUUUAACCGAUGGUGGUUAAUUAAAGGGGCCUCCCCCCAUGGUGUGCCUCUGGCUUGUUUAUAUUUUAAAAUGAGGUUCAUUCCUGAUGCACAAGAAAUGGCAGGGGGGAAGCUGACAGUCGGGGUCUCUUACUGGGCUGACUUGAAGAAAUAGGGAAUAGAAUUUCCUGUUUCCUUUUACAUUUUUUCUUCCUUAUUUCACCCCGCCCCCCCCAACUCCCCCACUUCAAAGUCCUUUCAAAGCAUCUUGGGGUGCAUAGAUACGCCUGACAGUGCUGGAAAUGCUGCACUGCUUUUCAGAAGGCCAGGGGACUCUGCUGGGCACGCAGGCCUGGCCUCGCUCUCCGCCCAGCGGUGAGGGUCGCCAAGAGGGAGCAGAAAUCCCUUUCACCGAUUUUGAUCUUCUGGACCGCAGUUGAGAAGCGCUGUCUCGUUCCUUCGCUUCAGUGGGUAGUGCCUACUGGCGGUUCUGUCCUGAUGCCCAAAGACUAUUGCGUUAUUCAUUUUCCCCAGACUUUCCCUGCCCCCUUUUUUUCUCCUUCUCUUUUUCUCCGUUUAAAGUCUCAAAGCGAAGCAGUUCCUCACCACUGCGUCGUAGAAGGAAAGCGCACGUGCUUGUUUGGAGAUCUGGACCAGAGCUCUCCCUUCCAGGGAAGGAGCAGUGGUUUGGGACGGGACAGGCUUUCUGGAAGCCUCGGGGCUGCUGGGCUGCCCGGGAGGAGACCUCCCAGCAACGGCUGGAGAUCCAUCACACCUGCGCAAGCAAGGCCCCGGGGCAUCACUUUCUUUCCCAGGAGGCAAGGCCUUCCCACGUGUUUCCCACGUGCUCAGCGCUCUGCUGGUCCAGUGAAGCCCGUGGACCCAAAAUGCGCUGCUUUCAGAGUCUUCCCCAGCUGAGUUGUUGGGGAUAAAAUUCUUGGUAAAAAAUGGGAUGCGUUUGAAACACUCUGGUCUCCAUGGGGACCCUGGUUAAUUAAGAUGUUACCUCUGUUGGCGCUCCAAUUUGUUUCCCCUACCUGACCAGCCCGGUGGAAAACGCCCCAAGGUUGGUGUAACCAAAUGGCACGUGACCCGUACGUGCGGUAAACCCGCCCUACACGUGUGUGGGCGGAGAACCAGCUCCACUCCUAAACUCUGCUGAGAGGUCUUGAGUUGCAGCGUUUGGGCCUCGAAAUCGGGUUCCUGCUCCAGAGCAAGGGGUUCCCUAGUGCUCCAGAACUUGGAGCUUUCAGCAGCGGCAAGCACUGUGACGGUCACCGGCUCCCCACAGGAAAAAAAAAAAAAAUGGAACUCUAUCCUCUGGGUCUCGAGAAAGGGAAAUAUUUACAAGAUCUUCCAAACACGAGAUGCCAUAAAGCUGAAUGACUUCCUUUGUCUGAGGAGCCGAUUGCUCUCUUCUUGAGGUUAUUUCGAUUCCACUUAAGCAAGAUGUGGCUGCGCUGGUCCUAGUGGUGGCGUGCGGGGUCUUGGAUCUUCGUGCUGCGUGUGGGAUCUUGAGUCACAGCUGGCAGAUUCUUAGUUGUGGCCUGUGGAAUCUAGUUCCCUGACCGGGGAUCGAGCCCACGCCCCCUGCUUUGGGAACGCAGAGUCUUAGCCACUGGACCACGGGGGACGUCCCUCAUGUUGUUUUUAAAAUGGAACAGAACAUAAAUGCUUUGAAGCCACUCAUGAAGAAUAGCCCUCUUACCCCAGCAGCAGGGAGACCGAGUCCAGCAGACCUGUCGUAGUUGGGUCAACAGCAGGGCCGGUGGACCCCUGCCGGCCCCAGGGCGGGUGCUGCUCCUCCUGCGUGUCUUGUCUGAGUGAGUUGGUACUUUCGACCGAGGGGCUCUUGCGAGAGGAACUAGCGGGAGAGUCUGUGACACACAUUUCACUGAAAUUAAAAAUUGCGGUGGCGAUGGCAAUUAUUUUGAAUUAUCCUCAGAAUGAUUAAGAAAAUGAUACCCUUAAAUAAAUG
ensembl:lncRNA